CCAGACUCCUACGGGAGGCAGCAGUGGGGAAUAUUGCACAAUGGGCGAAAGCCUGAUGCAGCCAUGCCGCGUGUGUGAAGAAGGCCUUCGGGUUGUAAAGCACUUUCAGCGAGGAGGAAAGGUUAGUGGUUAAUAGCCACUAGCUGUGACGUUACUCGCAGAAGAAGCACCGGCUAACUUCGUGCCAGCAGCCGCGGUAAUACGAGGGGUGCAAGCGUUAAUCGGAAUUACUGGGCGUAAAGCGUGCGUAGGUGGUUUGUUAAGCAAGAUGUGAAAGCCCUGGGCUCAACCUGGGAACUGCAUUUUGAACUGGCAAGCUAGAGUUUUGUAGAGGGUAGUGGAAUUUCCAGUGUAGCGGUGAAAUGCGUAGAGAUUGGAAG
rnacentral:rRNA from 1 species